AGCGAACGUUAGCGGCGGGCCUAACACAUGCAAGUCGAGCGAGAAAGGGGCUUCGGCCCUGAGUAAAGCGGCGGACGGGGGAGUAACACGUAGGUAAUCUUCCUUCGAGCGGGGGACAACGGUCCGAAAGGACCGCUAAUACCGCGUACGUUCCCGAGGACCCUGGUCCUUGGGAGGGAAGCUAGGUCGCAAGAUCCGGGACUCGGAGAGGGGCCGGCGUCGCAUCAGCUAGUUGGUGGGGUAAUGGCCUACCAAGGCGAAGACGCGUAGCUGGUCUGAGAGGAUGAUCAGCCACACUGGGACUGAGACACGGCCCAGACUCCUACGGGAGGCAGCAGUGGGGAAUAUUGGACAAUGGGCGCAAGCCUGAUCCAGCCACGCCGCGUGAGUGAUGAAGGCCUUCGGGUCGUAAAGCUCUGUGGGGAGGGACGAACCGCUGCACGUGCAUAGCGUGCAGCAUGACGGUACCUCCUUAGCAAGCACCGGCUAACUUCGUGCCAGCAGCCGCCGUAA
rnacentral:rRNA from 1 species